rnacentral:rRNA from 1 species
UCCUGGAAACGGGGAUUAAUACCGCAUAAUAUGCCGAAGUCGCAUGACUUUGGUAUUAAAGCAGCAAUGCACUUAGAGAUGAGUGUGCGUCCCAUUAGGUAGUUGGUGAGGUAACGGCUCACCAAGCCUAUGAUGGGUAGCCGGUCUGAGAGGAUGGUCGGCCACACGGGCACUGAGACACGGGCCCGACUCCUACGGGAGGCAGCAGUAAGGAAUAUUGGUCAAUGGUGGAAACACUGAACCAGCCAUGCCGCGUGGAGGAAUAAGGUCCUACGGAUUGUAAACUCCUUUUGACGAGGAAGAAAAUGUUAGAUUUAUCUAAUUUUGACGGUACUCGUAGAAUAAGCACCGGCUAACUCCGUG